GCCACAUUAAGAGGGGGCACAGGGGAGAAAUUACUCCCCCUCACCCCACUGUUAGUGCCUUUAAUCAUUGCAGCCACUGCUGCAGUGUACAUGAAAUUCCGAAAAGGGGGCGGGGCUAAACGGCACUGUACACACAGUGCCAUGCCAGCCAGCAACAGCAUGGGAGAGAGGGAAGAGCAGCACAGCCCAAACAGUACUCCUAAAGCUGGCUGCACACUAGAGCAAUGGCCAAUCGUACUGAAGGUCAGGCCGAAUUCCAGCGGAGAUUGGACGUGCACAUAUGAAGUGAAUGUCUCCUGGAGAAGGACACUCUGUGGGAUGGGGAAUUUAAACGGAUGCCUAAAGAAAAAAGAAACUUUAAUAUACUGUGAUGUGCUUUGUUCAAAAGUUACUGUACAUCAUGCACAUCUGCUUACACCUCACACACCUGUAGUGAUACCUUAUAUACCUUUAUUGAUAUAUCAUACAUCUGAAUUGUAAUUCCAUGCACCUUUGCUACUGUAUAUAUCACACUUUUAUUUAUACCUCAUAAAGAUCUAUUUAUAUAUCAUACACCAUUAGUUAUAUAUCAUACACCUCUAGUUAUAUAUUACACACUUCUAUUUAUACCUCAUACAUCUCUAGUUACGUAUCAUAUAUUAUUUAUAUUUAUACUUCAUAGACUUCUAUUUAUAUAUAAUACACAUAUAUUGUUAUUUCAUACACCUCAAUUGAUAUCUCAUAUACUUCUGGUUAUACUUCAAAUAUCAUUGCAUAUACACCAUAUAAAGCCCUGUAACUGAUAGAGACUGAGUUAUUCAACCAAAAGACCCUUGUCAAGAGACACUACCAUCCCUUCGCUAGCUACACUUUCUUUGGAUAGAACUGAGAUACACUGUCACUAUCACACAUUCAUUAUACAUCUGUGUGCCAAUCCCGCCCAUUGGCACACUAUGGCACUGCAGAAUUCUACCAGAACUCUAACGUUUAUUGCCGGUGAAGAUCACUGUACCUUGGAUAGGGAAAGCUAGAAAGUUAGUGUCUGUUAUUGCUGAAUGUGUUUUUCAUCACACUCCUCAUGAACACAUUAUAGACUUUGAUUCCAAAUAUAAUAUGCUAAUUUCUGUGAUUCCAAUUAUAAUAUGCUAAUCUGUAAUUCCAAUUAUAAUCUGCCCAUAUCUGUGAUUCAAAUCGAUUGUCUUUUGCAUUUUGAAUGAUUCAUUGUGGUGUGAACUUUAUCCAAUUGUUUUCUCUUUGUUUUUCUUUGA